AGGGCUGGUCGAAAGACCCGGGUCCACACAAAGGCGGGUAAGACACCC
rfam:Eubacterium biforme DSM 3989 Scfld7 genomic scaffold, whole genome shotgun sequence.